ensembl:lncRNA
GUAUUUAUUUUAAAAUGCUUUUGCAACCUGACACUGUUCAGCUUUUUUAUCUUUUACCAGUAUUUGGGGACUUAUUGGGGAUUCCUUUGAUAAUUUCAGGAAGAAAGAAGUGGAAUGGAAGGAGCCAGUAACUGUCCCAGGUCAGAAAACGCCUCUGAAAAGGAUCUACAUUACACCCAAAGUUCAUUGGAUAACUGCACCCUCAACAAUCAGGAGACAAUAAGUGGUGUAGACAGAGCUAAUAUCGUCCCCAAAUCAGAUGGUACCACUGAAGACAUUCAGCAUUCCACAGACUGUUCACAGGUUGAGACUUUCCACAUUCAGGAGACAAUAAAGGGUAUGAACCAAGCCAGUAACUGCCCCAAAUCAGAUGGUGCCUCUGAAGACAAUCAGCAUUGCACAGACAGUCCACAGCAUGACAGUAUCUUCCACAUUCAGGAGACAAUAAAGGGUAUGAACCAAGCCAGUAACUGCCCCAAAUCAGAUGGUGCCUCUGAAGACAAUCAGCAUUGCACAGACAGUCCACAGCAUGACAGUAUCUUCCACAUUCAGGAGACAAUAAAGGGUACGAACCAAGCCAGUAACUGCCCCAAAUCAGAUGGUGCCUCUGAAGACAAUCAGCAUUGCACAGACAGUUCACAGCAUGACAGUAUCUUCCACAUUCAGGAGACAAUAAAGGGUAUGAACCAAGCCAGUAACUGCCCCAAAUCAGAUGGUGCCUCUGAAGACAAUCAGCAUUGCACAGACCGUCCACAGCAUGACAGUAUCUUCCACAUUCAGUGGCUCUUGAUGUAGAACCACCCAUAGAUCCUUCUGCAAAAGAAGUCCAGAAAUCUUCAAUUGAACAAACAACAGAAAUAACAAGUACCACAACUACCAUGAAAGGUACUGUUUGUUAAACUUCAUAGAAAGCCUUUAUGAACUUAAAAAUCUCUGUUUUUUCUGAUGUGCUUUGUUCAUUCAGGUCGAAAGGUGGUAAAGAAAAAGAAAUGGGACAGUGAUGAAAUGAAUGCAGUUGAAAAGCAUCUAAACAGGUUCAUCAAAACUUGUACAGUGCCAGGAAAACAACAAUGUGAGGCCUGUAUAAAUGCUGAACCUGUUGCCUUGAAAGACAGGGAUUGGUUGUCUGUAAAGUUCUUUGUGAAGAACAAAAUCACUACCCUUAAAAGAAGAAUGUAAAGUCAGUUAUUUUAUUUUGUUUGGUAUCUUAUUUUCUGGUAUUUUAGAUUUCUGGUUAUUACAUUUGUUUUAAAAGGAUCUUAGAAUCUCUUUUUUUUUUUUUGGAAAUGGGUGCAAUUCAGUAAAGUGUCUUUGAAUCAAAUGUAAAUAUGUACAGAAUACUGUUCAGAAUGCUACAUAAAAAUAGCAAAAAAAAUAAAUAUUUUAUUCAUGUUAUUAAAUUUUGAUCU